ensembl:lncRNA
GUUCUGUCCUCUCCCCAUACUCUCCUGCCCUUUCUCUCCUUCCAACUCCAUUCAAGAAUAGUGUUUUGGUAGUAUUUUAGUCUUAUGUCAAAUUUUUAUUCAAGUUAACAAGGAAGUUCAAAAGCUGUGGGGAAGCAGAGCUACAUACACAGGCAGCUCACUGAGGCAAUGGAAGCAGGGACACGUGACCUGGGAAGAAUACAUGGAUGCCAUCCAAACAUGCAGAGAUGGGAUGAGGAAAGCCAAGGCACAGAUGCAACUGAACUUGGUGAAGGGUGUGAAAAAUAACAAGAAGGGAUUCUAUAGAAUUGCUGGUCCUGGUUAGAAUCCUUAUACAGUGUGGAGGAGCACUUCAUGCCAUAGUGUAUCCAAACUGAUGGGACAUUGCUGAGAAUGGAGCUAAAACUCUUUGCAAGCAGACUGCAGCUAUACUAAGUGUUUCUCUUCUUGGGAGAAAAAGCUAUGCACCAGGUGCAAAAAAUGGAGAACAAAGUAUCUGUACCCUGUAGGCCCUGGGACAAAAAGAAUUCCAGCCUGCAAACUUCACCUCUUGCUGAAGAUAAAGACAAAAGUCUUAGAGAUUCUUACCAGUCUAUCCCAGAGCAAACUACUUUUCCACCACCAAAUCUGGAGGUUUGCCUGACUCUGAGCCUUCCAUCAGUGGUCUAACCCCACUGCUGUCUGUUUCCAGCUGGUGGCUAAAGUCUGAUACUUUAGAAAGUGGUAGGUGGGUAGGAGAAGUAAUCAAAGUACGUGUAGAAAGGAGAGAAGGAAUUCUUUCGUAGCCUGAAGGCAAUCAUGUGAAGUCCUCAGGACUGAUUGCAAGCUGUGAUUUGGAGUUUCUCCCACUGAAGGAUGCUUAUCGGUGAUUGGAUCUUGCUGUGCUUUUAUCAGUAAAAUUUUAAAAGCUCUCUACUCCCAGAUAUCCAUCCCAUGUGCUAAUACAUAUGCAAAAUACCCAAAUCACCUCAGGCUUUUUUUUUUUUUAAGUGAAUAUAUUGUGGUUCUUACAUCUCCCCCACUGCAGUUUGCAUGGCAGCCCAUAGGACAGCCUUGUGGUUCCCAUUUAAAACCUCUGUAGUAUUUCCUCAGCCUCCCUUUAGGAGUGGGGACAAGGAAUGCAAUGCCAGCUUCUAGCAAUCACUAACUAAUGCCCUAUGCAGAGCUCACAUCUCUGUAUUUGCUUUCUAAAUAACUAUCAGAUACUAUUUGUUAGAGCACUUCACUAAGCAUUUAUUAAAUGUAAGCAAUAGUGUACCUGCAGAUAGACCUCCACCUUCAGGAGCAAGUUCAGGCUGUCCCCCAGGAAGGUGUUUGUGGUUAAUCACACAGGAUUCAGGAGGGUUUGGCAUGGCCUCUUGGGCAAUCUUAAGUAAUGAAGUUGACCUUUCUGCAUUGCCGUCUCUCUUACCUCAGCCCCAUUUCUUUAAGGCGUGUGCAAUACUUGCACUGCUCUAAUCCCACCUGGUCUAUCUGCAGGCGCAUCUGCACAAGUGGUGACUCUGCCUGCACACUGAGUCAGCCGAGUGAAAGCCUCCUCCGAGCUAGAAGCUGUUUAGACGUGUUGCUGAAGGCUGUGCCCAUUCUAAUGCUUUUCUCCACAGAGAAAAAAAACAUGCUGAGUUGCUGAAUUAACUGUUGUCGGGCUCCUCAAGCAUGAAAAUGACCAGUGUUCUCCAGCACACAAAGCUUUCAUGCCAAAGACAUUUCAGGUCUCACACUGCUCCUGUCCAGCAUCAAUGCGCCCAGUGCUUGCACUCAGCCCGCUUUCCUGCCUCACUCCCUCCCCAGUUCCCCUGGUCAGCC